CGGGGUGUAGCGCAGUCUGGUAGCGCACCUGGUUUGGGACCAGGGGGUCGGAGGUUCGAAUCCUCUCGCCCCGA
rnacentral:tRNA from 1 species